rnacentral:rRNA from 1 species
CACGGGGGGAGCAAGCGUUAAUCGGAAUUACUGGGCGUAAAGCGUGCGCAGGCGGCUUUGCAAGACAGAUGUGAAAUCCCCGGGCUUAACCUGGGAACUGCAUUUGUGACUGCAUGGCUGGAGUGCGGCAGAGGGGGAUGGAAUUCCGCGUGUAGCAGUGAAAUGCGUAGAUAUGCGGAGGAACACCGAUGGCGAAGGCAAUCCCCUGGGCCUGCACUGACGCUCAUGCACGAAAGCGUGGGGAGCAAACAGG